rnacentral:rRNA from 1 species
CGUACCAUGCAAGUCGAGCGGAAACGAGUUAACUGAACCUUCGGGGAACGAUAACGGCGUCGAGCGGCGGACGGGUGAGUAAUGCCUAGGAAAUUGCCCUGAUGUGGGGGAUAACCAUUGGAAACGAUGGCUAAUACCGCAUGAUGCCUACGGGCCAAAGAGGGGGACCUUCGGGCCUCUCGCGUCAGGAUAUGCCUAGGUGGGAUUAGCUAGUUGGUGAGGUAAGGGCUCACCAAGGCAACGAUCCCUAGCUGGUCUGAGAGGAUGAUCAGCCACACUGGAACUGAGACACGGUCCAGACUCCUACGGGAGGCAGCAGUGGGGAAUAUUGCACAAUGGGCGCAAGCCUGAUGCAGCCAUGCCGCGUGUGUGAAGAAGGCCUUCGGGUUGUAAAGCACUUUCAGUCGUGAGGAAGGCGGUGUCGUUAAUAGCGGCAUCGUUUGACGUUAGCGACAGAAGAAGCACCGGCUAACUCCGUGCCAGCAGCCGCGGUAAUACGGAGGGUGCGAGCGUUAAUCGGAAUUACUGGGCGUAAAGCGCAUGCAGGUGGUUUGUUAAGUCAGAUGUGAAAGCCCGGGGCUCAACCUCGGAAUAGCAUUUGAAACUGGCAGACUAGAGUACUGUAGAGGGGGGUAGAAUUUCAGUGUAGCGGUGAAAUGCGUAGAGAUCUGAAGGAAUACCGGUGGCGAAAGGGGCCCCCUGGACAGAUACUGACACUCAGAUGCGAAAGCGUGGGGGAGCAAACAGGAUUAGAUACCCUGGUAGUCCACGCCGUAACGAUGUCUACUUGGAGGUUGUGGCCCUUGAGCCGUGGCUUUCGAGCUAACGCGUUAAGUAGACCGCCUGGGGGAGUACGGUCGGCAAGAUUAAAACUCAAAUGAAUGACGGGGCCCGCACAGCGUGGAGCAUGGUGGUUUAUCGAUGCACGCGAGACUAACUACUCUGACAUC